ACAAAUGUUCGCCAAACACGUGUUUCACGGGGACAAUAGUGAAUGGUGCACACUUGCUUCACCAAGCCACAGAACAAAAAGUCACAUUUAAGAGUUGCUGGUGUAACAAUUGGAAGAACAUAUUUGACAUCCCUCUUGUACAUGCGGCUAAUGAGAAAGGAAUGGACGUAAUUGAAGUCUGGAAUACUCGGUGACGUGCGGUGAACUAAACACCAGACGUCCACCAGAUGAAUGGUCGUCAAGAAGAAUGUCCCCUUCAGCAGCAGGGUGGGGCUUCUCUUUGAGGCAGGAGGAUCCACAGCCUCCCCACAUUAAAGAGGAAGAGGAGGAUCUCUGGGUUACUCGGGGGGGAGAGUGUUUUCCAGGGCAGGAGGUGGCUGAUCUCAUCAAGUUUCCACUGACUGUUGUCUCUGUUAAGUCUGAAUACCAUGAAGACAAACCACCUGAGUCCUCACACCUUCAUCACAGUCCAAAAUCCCUUGAACCUGUGGAUCGUCGUCAUCAUUGCUCGACUGCAACAGGAACAAGGCAAAUAAUCGAGUCCCUGACCAUUGCUCAAAGUACAGAUUUAGUGUCCAUUUGUACACAAAAGUAAGCAUUGACGUGUUCAAAGGCAGUAAUAUAUCAUGAAACAAGGAAAAGAGGGACUUACCCGUUUAUCCACUCGUAAUCACGCAAGAAAAACCGGCAAACAGCUGAUUUGACUACCGUAUUUUUCGGACUAUAAGUCUCAGGUUUUUUCAUAGUUUGGCCGGGGGUGCAACUUAUAUUCAGGAGCGACUUAAGCUCAUUCACGUAAGAGACUAGACGUAUAAGAUUUCAUCGGAUUUAGCAAUUAGGAGUGACAGAUUGUUUGGUAAACGUAUAGCAUGUUCUAUAUGUUAUAGUUAUUUGAAGGAUUCUUACCAUAAUAUGUUACGUUAACAUACCAGGCCCCUUCUCAGUUGGUUAUUUAUACGUCAUAUAACGCAGUGUUUAUCAACCUUUUCGGCGCCAAGGCACAUUUUAUGCGUUGAAAAAAUGCGGAGGCACACCACCAGCAGAAAUCAUUCAAAAACAAAACUCAGUUGACAGUAAAAAGUGGUUGUCACAAUUGUUGGAAAUGACUUUAAAGCAUAACCAAGCAUGCAUCACUAUUGCUCUUGUCUCAAAGUAUAUGUACUGUCACCACCUGUCACAUCACACCUUGACUUGUUUUAAAUUUUUUGCUGUUUUCCUGUGUGUAGUGUUUUAGUUCUUGUCUUACGCUCCUAUUUUGGUGGCUUUUUCUCGUUUUUUGGUAUUUUCCUGUAGCAGUUUCCUAUCUUCCUUUGAACAAUAUCACCCGCAUCUACUUUGUUUUAGGAAUCAGUUGUUUGUAUCCGUCUUUGUGGGGACAUUGUUGAUUGUCAUGACAUGUGGGGAUGUACUGUACAUUGUGGACGCCGUCUUUGCUCCACAAUAAGUCUUUGCUGUCGUCCAGCAUUCUGUUUUUGUUUACAUUGUAGCCAGUUCAGUUUUAGUUUCGUUCUGCAUAGCCUUCCCUAAGCUUCAAUUCCUUUUCUUGGGGGAAUUCACCUUUUGUUUAUUUUUUGUUUAAGCCUUAGACAUAUAAGAAGAAUACUGAGUUACAUCCCAAGAACACCAUACCUACUGUGAAGCAUGGGGGUGGAAACAUCAUGCUUUAGGGCUGUUUUUCUGCUUAGAGGACAGGACGACUGAUCCGUGUUAAGGAAAGAAUAAAUGGGGCCAUGUAUCGUGAGAUUUUGAGUCAAAACCUCCUUCCGUCAGUGACAGCUUUGAAUGGUUGACCAAAUACUUAUUUUCCACCAUAAUUUACAAAUAAAUUCUUUAAAAUUCCUACAAUGUGAAUUCCUGGAUUUUUUUUCAUUCUGUCUCUCACAGUUGAAGUGUACCUAUGAUGAAAAUUACAGACCUCUGUCAUCAUUUUAAGUGGGAGAACUUGCACAAUCGGUGGCUGACUAAAUACUUUUUUGCCCCACUGUAUAAGCCGCCAUCAAGACGCACCAUCGCACAAAGAAUACACCAGUUGUAUGAAAAGGAGAGGACUGUAAAAGUGACAACUUUACUACGUGCAGCUGUAGUUGCUCUCAGUGGGGACUACUGGACAUCAAUCGGUAGAAAAAUGGAUGGAUGGACGGAAACAGGAUAACUUAAAUACCCUGGCAGUGGUAAUAAGCUUGAAUGUUUGUAUUUACAUUUUUUGAGUUGAUUUUCAUAAAAUAUGCUAUUUAACUGCUACUGUUUAACAAGUACUGAUUUAAAGGCCUACUGAAAUGAGAUUUUCCUAUUUAAACGGGGAUAGCAGGUACAUUCUAUGUGUCAUACUUGGUCAUUUCGCGAUAUUGCCAUAUUUUUAAUGAUAGGAUUUAGUAGAGAACAUCCACGAUAAAGUUCGCAACUUUUGCUUGCUAACAGAAAAGCCCUGCCUUUACCGGAAGUCUCAGACGAUGACGUCACAUGUUGAUGGCUCCUCACAUAUUCACAUUGUUUUUAAUGGGAGCCUCCGACAAAAACAGCUAUUCGGACCGAGAAAACGACAAUUGCCCCAUUAAUUUGAGCGAGGAUGAAAGAUUUGUGUUUGAGGAUAUUGAUAGUGACGCACUACAAAAAAAGAAAAAGAAAAAAAAAAGUUUUAAAAAAAAAACGCGAUUUCAUUGGGAUGGAUUCAGAUGUUUUUAGACACAUUUACUAGGAUAAUUCUGGGAAAUCCCUUAUCUUUCUAUUGUGUUGCUAGUGUUUUAGUGAGUUUAACGGUACCUGAUAGUCGGAGGUGUGUUUUCCACGGGUGUGUUGACGACGCCUAGUGUCUCAGGGGAGUCGACAGCAGCUAUAUGGACGGCACAAGCUCAGCUGAUCUCCGGCAAGAAGCGACUUUUUACCACAAUUUUCUCACCGAAACCUGCUGGUUGACAUUCGGUCGGGAUCCAUGUUCGCUGUAAUCCAUAGUAAAGUUUCACCUCCAUGAAUUUUAAACAAGGAAUCACCGUGUGUUGCUGUGGCUAAAGGCUAAAGAUCCAAACUCCAUCUUUCUACUUUGACUUUUCCAAUAUUAAUUGAACAAAUUACAAAAGAUUCAUCAACACAGAUGUCCAAAAUACUUUGUAAUUAUGCGGUUAAAGCAGACGACUUUUGGCUGUGUGUGUGUGCAGCGCUCAUAUUUCCUUACAGCCCGUGACGUCACGCGUACACGUCAUCAUUCCGCGUCAUUUUCAAGAAGAAACUCCCGGGAAAUUUAAAAUUGCAAUUUAGUAAACUAAAAAGGCCGUAUUGGCAUGUGUUGCAAUGUUAAUAUUUCAUCAUUGAUAUAUAAACUAUCAGACUGCGUGGUCGGUAGUAGUGGGUUUCAGUAGGCCUUUAAAUUGUGUUUGCACAACAAAUGUUUUGACGCUUUUGUUCAUACUGUAAUUAAUUUUGAUUAAAAAUGUUUAGUGUUGCCCACCCCUAAUAUAUAUAUAUAUAUAUAUACACACACACACAGUUAUGGUGGGGUUGCAUGUUAAUGCGUGAAUCGUUUCCCCAAAAUGCAGAUUGAACUCCGGAGGCAGUGUGCUGGUUGGAAAAUUAUUUAUUUUCCAUAAAUCAGUCCAUAAUACAAAUAUGCAAGAAAAUACAAACAAACACAAGAAAGGGGUUGCGAUUGCACGGGAAAACUAAGCAUAGAGAGAGAAUAAAAGAGUAUACCAACGUAACUUGUUGCACAGCGCAAACAAGACAGCCAGACUGAGUGUGGCGAAAAGCAGGAAUAAAUAGCUCUCUGAAUAGUACCCGGGAGCAGGUGGGCGCCCCAAACACUAAACAGAGGCAGGUGGAAAUAAUCAGCACCCAUAGCAACCUUGAAAACACAAACCCAGGGGUGCUGAAACAGAACUAAGGGUAAGUAUAUCAUGUAUCGAUUCAUUUAUAAUUAAAGAUUUAAAUAUGUAACACUUUAUUUCAAAAACUUAUAAAAAACAC